AACCCCCAAAUCCAGGUGUGCAAACCUUAUGGCAUCAUACCCAGGAAGACUGGAGGCUGUAACCGCUGCCAGAGGUGCUUCAGUUAAGUACUGAGUAAAGAGUCUAAAUACUUACGUCAAUGCAAGAUUUUAUUUUCAGUAUAUUAAAGAU